rnacentral:lncRNA from 10 species
AGGAAAGAUGAUUUGUGAAGUGGUUGUAAUCAUUUUAUAAACAUAUAUAAGUUAUAAAACCAAGAUCAUCUGGCAGCAUAAAACAAUUUUUAAAAACUGCACAGAUUUUUGAAACUUGCAUUAUCUUAUCAGGAUGGGUGUUCCCUGGACUAAUAGUUUAAUUAUAUUGAGUCUCAAUUUCCUCAUAUAUAAGAUGAGAGCUAUAUUUGUCAUACUUUUAGAAGUUUUGUGUAUCACUUGACUGGUUGGGUUCUUAGCAAUGUUUAGGACAAUUAUUAGGCAUUUAAGUUAUAAUGAGUUAUAAGUUACAAUAUAAUGGAUUUUUAUUUAUAUAACAAAUAUUUGCUGAGAACCUAUCUUAUGUCAGGCUCUCUUCCAGUUCCCAGGGAUGUAGCAGUGAAGAACACAGAUGAUGCCCAUUGACUGCACACACUAUGCAAAUACUUUAACAUGUUAUUAAUAUUAUUAUGCUAUCAUUAACAUUAUUAAGGUAGUUAUGAGAGUAAGUAGAAUAUUAUCUUAGAUGUUUAGGGAGUAUUUCCUAGGUUCAGCUAGAACUCAUUGAUGUAAUACAUUUAAACUACUACUAAAAAUAUAUGCCAAAUGAUUUCAUAUAUUUGCAUGAGAUAAAAUGAAAUGACUUCUUUACAGCUCUCAAGAACAUAAUAAUAACAUUUUCCAUUUCCUGAUUCUCAGUGUAAACCUGUUAACUGGAAUUAAAAAUGCAUUGUGGUCUGAGAAUUUUCUUAAAGAAGACAUACUGAGUUCAAUAAGUUUCCUUAGAGUAACUGCAAUAGAGAGUUUUAUAGCUGUAUUUCUCAUGAUGUGCUUGAAAUAAAUCAGUGGCACAAUGGUAAAGGGUGUGUAAGAUUGAGAUAAAUCUAGAAAGGCCCCUAAAAGUGGAAGUAUAUAACUAUCUCAUCGACUCAAUAGAGACACUCAAACCAUCGGGAUGUAUGCUAUACUCCACUUGUGAACAUGUUUUUGUUUUUUUUUUUAAUUUGAUGGCACACAAAUAUAAUUUCACAUAAAUAUUUAUAUUCUCAGCUUUCUACAAAAAAAAUUGGAAGAUAUGGCAACAUUUAGCCUACACUGAUGCACAACGACCACAUCCAAUAUAUGAACAACUACUUUUCCCCUUAAAUAAUGCGUGUUGUGGGACUCUGUUUGCAUAUUAUAAACUGAGAAC